UGCGGCGCACAUAAGACAUGCAAGUCGAACGGACUUAACCAUUAGUUUACUAUUGGAGCGGUUAGUGGCGGACUGGUGAGUAACACGUAAGCAACCUGCCUAUCAGAGGGGAACAACAGUUAGAAAUGACUGCUAAUACCGCAUAUGCCUUAAUUACCACAUGGUAAUAGAGGGAAAGGAGCAAUCCGCUGAUAGAUGGGCUUGCGUCUGAUUAGAUAGUUGGUAAGGUAACGGCUUACCAAGUCGACGAUCAGUAGCCGGACUGAGAGGUUGAACGGCCACAUUGGGACUGAGAUACGGCCCAGACUCCUACGGGAGGCAGCAGUCGGGAAUAUUGCGCAAUGGAGGAAACUCUGACGCAGUGACGCCGCGUGCAGGAAGAAGGUUUUCGGAUUGUAAACUGCUUUAGACAGGGAAGAAACAAGACAGUACCUGUAGAAUAAGCUCCGGCUAACUACGUGCCAGCAGCCGCGGUAAUACGUAGGGAGCAAGCGUUAUCCGGAUUUAUUGGGUGUAAAGGGUGCGUAGACGGGAAUGCAAGUUGGUUGUGAAAUCCCUCGGCUCAACCGAGGAAUUGCAACCAAAACUAUAUUUCUUGAGUGCUGGAGAGGAAAGUGGAAUUCCUAGUGUAGCGGUGAAAUGCGUAGAUAUUAGGAGGAACACCAGUGGCGAAGGCGACUUUCUGGACAGUAACUGACGUUGAGGCACGAAAGUGUGGGGAGCAAACAGGAUUAGAUACCCUGGUAGUCCACACCGUAAACGAUGGAUACUAGGUGUAGGGGAUGAAUAAUCUUCUGUGCCGUCGCAAACGCAGUAAGUAUCCCACCUGGGGAGUACGGCCGCAAGGUUGAAACUCAAAGGAAUUGACGGGGGCCCGCACAAGCAGUGGAGUAUGUGGUUUAAUUCGACGCAACGCGAAGAACCUUACCGGGGCUUGACAUAUACAUGAAAAUGUAAGAGAUUAGAUCCCUCUUCGGAGCAUGUAUACAGGUGGUGCAUGGUUGUCGUCUGCUCGUGUCGUGAGAUGUUGGGUUAAGUCCCGCAACGAGCGCAACCCCUGUUCUUAGUUGCCAGCAUGUAAAGAUGGGAACUCUAAGAAGACUGCCGGUGAUAAAUCGGAGGAAGGUGGGGACGACGUCAAAUCAUCAUGCCCUUUAUGUCCUGGGCUACACACGUACUACAAUGGCUGUAACAAAGGGAAGCGAACCCGCGAGGGGAAGCAAAACCCAUAAAAGCAGUCUCAGUUCGGAUUGAAGGCUGAAAUUCGCCUUCAUGAAGCCGGAAUUGCUAGUAAUGGCAGGUCAGCAUACUGCCGUGAAUACGUUCCCGGGCCUUGUACACACCGCCCGUCACACCAUGAGAGUUGGGGAUACCCGAAGCCUGUGAGCUAACUGUAAAGAGGCAGCAGUCGAAGGUAGAAUCAAUGAU
rnacentral:rRNA from 1 species